rnacentral:misc_RNA from 1 species
GAUGAGAACGUAGCGAAAUGCGAUAAGUAGUGUGAAUUGCAGAAUUCCGUGAAUCAUCGAAUCUUUGAACGCACAUUGCGCCUUCUGGUAUUCCGGAAGGCAUGCCUGUUCGAGAGUCAUUAACAACCGUUUCGAUCCCUUUCUUUCAGAAAUUACAAAGAGGAAAAGGGUUUGGUUAUGGUGGAGGAGGGAAAGGGAGCGUUUAGCCUGUAAAAAAAGAGGCUGUGUUCCGCCUCCCCCCCAAAAUUGUACAGGCGGUCGUGUGCGCCCACGCAUCGAGGUGUUGUAAAAGCUGCCACGGCACUUUUCACCUGUGCAGUGCGAGAUUGGCCAGCCGGUUUAAAAACCCCUCCAAACAAUCAAAGGUUGACCUCGGAUCAGGUAGGGAUACCCGCUGAACUUAAGCAUAUCAAUAAGCGGAGGA